UAAAGAGAGAUCAGAAAUACAAGAGGCAGAGGAAGCAAGGUUGAAGAGGAUUAGGGAAUACAACAUUCAGCAUGGACAUAGAUAUUGGAAAUGAAAUGGAUUGUUUCAAUUUCUAAGCAUCAUUUUAAUUUUUACUUUUUAAUUGCAAUCCUGCAAAACUCCAUUUGUUGAUAGUCCCCACAGACUCAAUCUCUCCAUCAUCUCUCCUCAUAACUGGCAACCAUUUGGAGCUAAGGAAUAUGAGAAUGAUAAUUAUUAUUAGUAAUUAUACCAUAAUUCAAUGUAAUACUGUAUAGUGUGGAUCUACUUUAGUGAGGUACCGUA
rnacentral:lncRNA from 1 species